ACCUCCUCUCUAUCGCAGGACCCGUGAGCACAAAGGUGCGGAAUUUUUGCGAAUUUCCUUUCCCCGCAGCGCAAGCGGUUCGGUGUUUCUGCCACUUUUCGGCCAGUUUGCUCUUUUCACGGGGGGAAUUUCAGGGACCAUGACUGGACUGCUGCGGAAGACCAGGCUACCAUGACAAACUGGGCACUCCAUAGUCAUUUCCUCUGUCAUUCCCGGGAGAUUUUGACGGUAAGAGCUAAAGCAGGACCAUCCUGUCUCCACAAGAACUCCUCCUUCAAUCAAAUCAUUCUCACUUGACGGCAGUGAUACAUACCUCCAUGCACAAAGAUGACACAGAAAGUACACAGCCUAGGCCAUAGACAGUAAGAUACAGCCCUUGCCUCGGUCCUUGGUCAACAUCCCACACCCUUGUGCUGUGGGUAGGGACUUCUUUUACUAGAUCAAGUUUUCAGUGACUGAUGUACACAAUAAUCCUAUUAUUAUUUUUCAACAUUUCAAAUUUUCCCCGACUCCUGGCAGCCCAAUC